rnacentral:rRNA from 1 species
UACGUAGGGUGCAAGCGUUAAUCGGAAUUACUGGGCGUAAAGCGUGCGCAGGCGGUUUGGUAAGACAGAUGUGAAAUCCCCGGGCUCAACCUGGGAAUUGCAUUUGUGACUGCCCGACUAGAGUGUGUCAGAGGGGGGGUAGAAUUCCACGUGUAGCAGUGAAAUGCGUAGAGAUGUGGAGGAACACCGAUGGCGAAGGCAGCCUUCUGGGCCAACACU